ensembl:piRNA 21ur-5819 ncRNA
UGGUCCUGCUGUAGAAUAAAA